rnacentral:rRNA from 1 species
UACAGAGGGUGCAAGCGUUAAUCGGAAUUACUGGGCGUAAAGCGUGCGUAGACGGUUGCGUAAGUCAGAUGUGAAAGCCCCGGGCUCAACCUGGGGGCUGCAUUUGAUACGUGCGGACUUGAGUGGGGAAGAGGGUCGUGGAAUUCCCAGUGUAGAGGUGAAAUUCGUAGAUAUUGGGAAGAACACCGGUGGCGAAGGCGGCGACCUGGUCCUUGACUGACGCUGAGGCGCGAAAGCGUGGGGAGCAAACAGG